CCUGCCCCUAGAGGCAUUGCAGACGUGGCUGCUGUGUCACAUGUGUGUCAGUAGGUGGCAGAGCAGAGAGAAUCUGUCUAGGCUCACUGUAACUGAAUGAUUAGUACCCUGACAUU
ensembl:snoRNA Gm22330 predicted gene, 22330